rnacentral:rRNA from 1 species
UGGGGAAUAUUGCACAAUGGGGGAAACCCUGAUGCAGCGACGCCGCGUGAGCGAAGAAGGUUUUCGAAUCGUAAAGCUCUGUCCUAUGGGAAGAUAAUGACGGUACCAUAGGAGGAAGCCCCGGCUAACUACGUGCCAGCAGCCGCGGUAAUACGUAGGGGGCAAGCGUUGUCCGGAAUCACUGGGCGUAAAGGGUUCGCAGGCGGAAAUGUAAGUCAGUUGUGAAAGGCAGAGGCUCAACCUCUGUAAGCAAUUGAAACUGUAUUUCUUGAGAUGUGGAGAGGCAAGUGGAAUUCCUAGUGUAGCGGUGAAAUGCGUAGAUAUUAGGAAGAAUACCGGUGGCGAAGGCGACUUGCUGGACACAAACUGACGCUGAGGAACGAAAGCGUGGGUAGCAAACAGG